UACGUAGGGGGCAAGCGUUGUCCGGAUUUAUUGGCGUAAAGAGCGUGUAGGCGGCCAUGUAGGUCCGUUGUGAAAACUCGAGGCUCAACCUCGAGACGCCGAUGGAAACCCUCUGGCUAGAGUCCGGAAGAGGAGAGUGGAAUUCCUGGUGUAGCGGUGAAAUGCGCAGAUAUCAGGAAGAACACCCGUGGCGAAGGCGGCUCUCUGGGACGGUACUGACGCUGAGACGCGAAAGCGUGGGGAGCAAACAGG
rnacentral:rRNA from 1 species